rnacentral:misc_RNA from 1 species
GAUGAAGAACGUAGCGAAAUGCGAUAAGUAUUGUGAAUUGCAGAAUCCAGUGAAUCAUCGAAUCUUUGAACGCACAUUGCGCCCUCUGGUAUUCCGGAGGGCAUGCCUGUCCGAGCGUCAUUGCUGCCCUCAAGCACGGCUUGUGUGUUGGGCCCCGCCCCCCGAUCCCGGGGGGCGGGCCCGAAAGGCAGCGGCGGCACCGCGUCCGGUCCUCGAGCGUAUGGGGCUUUGUCACCCGCUCUGUAGGCCCGGCCGGCGCCUGCCGAUCAACCAAACUUUUUUCCAGGUUGACCUCGGAUCAGGUAGGGAUACCCGCUGAACUUAAGCAUAUCAAUAAGCGGAGGA